CACAUGGCAUCCAGGUCCCAGAAGCUUCGCGAGCUCUCUCCUGUCUUCUCCACCGCAAACUCGAACCCCAAAAAUUUAUGGAGACCCGUUCUCUUUUUUGUUCCCCUUGUUAGCGAUUUGGCUCGGCAACCUCGUCAUCUCCUUCAAAGAUAUUAAACCAUCUCAGGUGAGUUUUAAACAGCUCAACCUAAAUGAGGGGAGCCACCACAUUACCUGCAAAAAAUAUUCUCAAUAGAAUCUAUCCAAUGGGAGGGACUUGGAGACUCAUGACAGUUUCAACCCCGAGUAGGCAUGAAAAGAAUGAGCCAAGGGAAGCAGGUAAAAUAACAAACAAUGAUGUUGAACCAGUGGUUGCCUUCAGCAAGCCACCUUUACCACCUGUCUUUGGCCCUUUGGUUGUUCUCUCAUUACUGGAAAUGUCAAGCAGCGAUGGAGAAGAAAGUUAACAAAAGCUUUGAAUGGCAUUUGCAUAGUGAGCUUUAAAAUGGUUUUGCAGUACCCUGAGUGCAUAGCUUAGCCUUCGACUACAUACAUCCAAACAUUGGUGUGGUGUGCCACCAGUGGAAGGAUCAAGGGCUCUACCAACAUCUUAUAGAUCUAAAUAAUAAAAUAACUAGUAUAUCAGGCUUUUGCAGGAAACCUACAACUCAAGUAGUGGGCAUGAGUUAUUAUUACCUGUAAGCUGUGUUUUUGACAGUAUGUCAAUCUGUUGAUAAUGUAAGUGAAGGGACAUACUCUUAGCCAGUGCAGAAAAUUUGUCAAAUAGUGAAAUGAUGAUCUUCAGCAUUUCCUGAAUUUCCAGCAAGCAAACAAAGCUACAUCAGUAUAUUGUAGUCAUAAAAACAAUCAUGCAUUGAACUUGAGAAUUAGCCUUUGCCGGGUUGCA